UGUAGGAGGAAGUGGAGAGGACUCAGGGACAGGUAUCAGAGAGAGAGAAGGGCAGAGAAAGAGAAGAGGUCUGGAUCCAUUUAUUGUGCCUAUGGCAACGAGUGGCAAUUUUAAAGCCAGACCCCUUACAUCAUCCACAAGUGUGGGCGCCACCAGUGCAUCAAGAUCCUCUACGUGAUUUACAAGUGAGACCACCGCCUCCACCGGUGCAGCAUGACCCUCUAUGUCAUCUACUAGUGCGACCAUCACCGGUGCAGCGAGACCCUCUACAACAUCUACAUCAUCCACAAGUAUGACCACCACCGGUGCAGCCAUGGAAGAUGAUGAAAUGGAGGAAGCACCUCUGGAUCUAUGACCACCUGAGAUUAUUAUGACCCUCACGGAAGUGACCACUGAGGACCUUGUUGAACAGGAUGUGGCCGUGGAGACAAACGAGGAGAGCAAUGAGGAGAGAAACAUGGAGAGAAACGAAGAGGAACAACGUCACAGCAGGCGCCAUCGGCAGUACCAGCCCCCAGAUCCACUCAACUAAUUUCAGCAGAGGCUCCUCCAAGCCGUCGAGAGGGAUGCAACCAAUCCUGAUGCUCACAGGAAGGAGGAUGAAGAGACCCUCUUUGCCAUGAGCCUGGUGCCAACCCUGAAGAGGCUGCCUCAGCAAAGAAAAGCAGCAGUCAAGGUUAAAAUUCAUCAGCUGCUUUUCGAUGCCAAGUUCAAUGAGAUGGAGUCAAUUUAGCCGACAAGCUCACAGAAAGGACUGGAAGAGGAGUUGUCUACUUUUUGUUUUGACCUUCUCCUCCAAUGGGAUUUUCCAACUGUCCAAAAUUGAGAUUUUCCAACUGUCCUUAUUCCACUUACUAUGUCUUUGUUAGUAGUUUCUCAAUACUUAGGAUAGCAUUCAUUAUUAGUUGUACAUAGAUUGCAUGAAAAUUGAGUGAAUUGAAACUGACACACGAGAGAAUUCAGAUGCUCUUGUUUUUCUUUUACAAGACUAAAGGUGAAAUGCGUGUUUACCUGUAUUGUGGCUACACAUUCAUUUGUAGUUUUUUCAGACGCAUACCUCUCCUCCAC
rnacentral:lncRNA from 1 species